rnacentral:lncRNA from 1 species
CAGCGCUUUCGGCGCCAUUUUCGAGUGAUGCCUGAUCUCAUCAAUCUAGCGGGAGAGACGGGAUAACCUGUCUUGAGCGUAUAGUGCCACUAGCGCUCCGCUGAAAAACCACUAAAAAAAAAAAAAAUCACCAAAAAUAACUUGGAGCAAAAGACAAUCCGCGAAGCUUCGCCAGGGUUGACGCAGUGGGUUUUGACCUUUAGGAGAGAGCCAAUUCUGGAAAACAAUCUAACUUCUUUGAUUGAAUACACACAUAAUGCUUUGGAACAUGAUAGGAGAUUAAGGUUUAAUAAUGACAAAAUGAAGACUACAAUAAAACAGCUCCCUACUAGCCCAGGAAUUCUUACCUUGUGCUCUCAUUUCUAA